rnacentral:rRNA from 1 species
UACGUAGGUGACAAGCGUUGUCCGGAUUUACUGGGCGUAAAGAGCGCGCAGGCGGUCGUUCAAGUCGAGUGUGAAAGCCCCCGGCUCAACUGGGGAGGGUCAUUCGAUACUGAUCGACUCGAAGGCAGGAGAGGGUAGUGGAAUUCCCGGUGUAGUGGUGAAAUGCGUAGAUAUCAGGAAGAACACCCGUGGCGAAGGCGGCUCUCUGGGACGGUACUGACGCUGAGACGCGAAAGCGUGGGGAGCGAACAGG